CGAUGCCAUCAUGUCGACCGCUGUGCGAAUUUUUUGCACAAGUUAAACGACAGAUAGACAGAGAGAGUAAGAAAGAAAAAAAGGGUGAGAGAGAGAGAGAGAGAGAGAGAGAAUAAGAGACAGAUGUUCAGAAAAUUUUUUUUUUUCAUUUUCAAAAUUAAUUACAACUGAUUUCUUUCAACUCACUGAGAUCCACUGUACAACAAUAUUAACACUAGCUCGAGAAUUUUCGAGAAUUGCAACAACUUGAAACUUUUCACAAUUUUUGACGCGAAGCUUUCAUAUUCACAUCCCAGAAGCGGCUAUUGACGUUGGAAGAUUUCCUGCUGGCACCAUCCAAGAGUGAUACCGUCAUUAUGUUAGGUGAUUAAAAUAAUAUUGAUGACGUCACUAGAUCGAAGAGGAUGCGUGCGCAUAUAAGGCGACACUUUUAUCAGAGAAAUUUUUAAGCGUCGAACAGAAUGCAGAGAUAAGGACAGUCUAUUAAAGUCAUUAUUACGUAUAAAUCACUGUACCAAGUCCGAGACAGAAUGUUAUUUUUAAGCGUAAAAUUUCCCAAUAAAGUGGGUACGCGAAAUCGUUCUUAUCGCACUCUCACGAUAAAGUGUCAAGUAACGCGCUUAUUGAACCUCUGCUAAUAAUUAGGUCAUGCACGGCGAAUAAACUGCAAUGCUUUUUCGGUAGCUUUCCUUCUUAAGAGGCGUUUUAAAAUGAUUUUGCGAAUUUGGCGUCAGUGUCGCAUUCGAAAGCAGCGGUUUGUCGCUGUAGUUGCAGCAGAGAUGCGAUGUGUGUGACGUAAUCAUUUUUACAAAAUGAAGGUGGCGCAAGGUAGAAAUAUAUUUACACACAUAUGUUUCAUAUCCGAAUAUAUAUAAAAAUAGAUAAAAUAUUUUUAUUCCUUCUACGCUUCGGUGUCUAAUUAAAUAGUGAAUUAAUUGUUGGUCUCUGAAUGUGAUCCCGAGCCGUUGUUGUUACAUGUUCUUAUGGCUGCUGUUCGCGCUAAUAAUUUUCGGUGUUAACUCGAUAUACACCUUUGCGUUAUUAUUUUGGCGGGAAAAAAAUUUGCAUUAUAAAAAUACAUGUGUAAUGAUUCUCUAGCUUGUGACGUCACUGCAGUACGCACGUAGCUCCACGCUACGAGUAUCGUCGAAAAAAGUCAUAUUAGAUUUUUAUUUUAUUUUAUUUUUUUUCAGAAUUUUCGUCGGAUUCGUCUUGUCGGUAGAAAAUCAGUUUAUCUACAUUUUGAGGUUAUCACGAUCAACGAAGAAACAUUGUGGACAAAUAAUUUGAUAUGACGACGCUAAUGUAUAUCAACAAAUUAGAAACGCGCGCGAUCCUUUAGAUAGGAGCCAUUUUGUCACUUGUACUAGUUUUGAUUUUGAAAUGCGGUUAAGCAUGCUUUCUGAAGAUGAGACGAACGCGAAAUGUAUUUCGAAAAGAUUAUUGGCGAACGAAGGAGAGAGUAAUUUGAUUAAGAGCCCUUUAUCCCUCUGACGUCAUCGCUUGUUCCACAGCAGCCUUAAGGAGGCAAUGUUGGUCGUAAGUGGAUUGAAGAACGUUCAGCCCCGCCUUUACGUGUUACGAUGUGUCAGUUUAAAAUGCUGUGCAUAGACAUUUCAACGAUAAACGUGGCGAAAUUAUAUAAGUAAAUGUGCGUCUCGCGCGAAUUGUUCUUUUUUUUUUUUGUUUUUGGACCAAUUCCGGAACUCUAGUUCCAUUGUGCCAACUUGAGAUUACCGAAAUUUCGACUUUAUUUUUCACUUAACAAGACGCGCAGUCGCGAAUUCAUAGCGAUUACGAAUUUCCACGAAUUGUCAAAUUUAUUCGACAACGUUGUAGACGCGAAAUCCUUUCUCGAAGUAAUGCAAUGAGAUUGUGCGACAAUUUGCUCAAGAAAUAUUAGCAAGAGUCUCUAAUCUUAUAGCUAGCGUCGUAGACUCCAUUAAUUUAUGAAACGUCAGAAUAAUUAUUUAUUUAUUCAAUUUUUUUUUCCAAUUAACAGCGACAAUGUUUUAAGUUUUCUUUUUUUUUUCCCCACGAGUCAACGCGAAUGGUUGAUAAAAACUUUUUGCACAGAGCAAAAGCAUAUCGGCUGUAUGUGUGGUAGCAGUAGUUGGAAAUGCGUGAAUUGUAUAACAGAUACGUGUGCAUACAUAAUUGACUGUUUUACGUCAGUGUGAAUGCGACUUUCGCCGAACAGAAUUGUUAAUAUUGUAUUGAGAAAGAAAAGUAUGUAUCUGUAGUGUCUGACGGUUGUAUGGUACGAGCUCGAAAGGUUGUACGCUAUUUUAUUUUUUUUUUCAAAAAUCUUUGAAGAUUCUAGUAUAAGCGUUGUACAGUCAUAAACAGACGACUGAAGAAUCGAUCAUUUAUUUAUACUAUUGUAAAUGUUAACUCGGGCGAUGUACUUGAAAGUUUAACGGUGACUCGGAUUGUCAUCGAAUUGCGAAAAAAAAAGCCGAGGGAGCCACUUUCGCAAAGAGCGAAUCUUCAGUGUUAAAUAUAGCUUCGAUUUAUAACCGCUUUUAGACAGAAUAUUUGGAUUCUACUAAAAGAAAAAGAGAGGAAGAAACGCAUGGGAAUUCUUCUUAUGGACGAGAAGAGAGGAAAAGAAAACUUAUUAUAUCCAUUGAUAACCUUCGUAUAAAUCUUUUCCAGAUUUAUCGCUUACUAUUUAUUAUUUGUUCGUUAUUAAAGAAAAAUGUCGAGGCGUAAAUUCAUAUAUCUUUCUUCCUUGCUUUCUUGUGAUAUAAUAUCGACUUGCAUACAUACACACUCGACACAUGACACAUAUUCGUAAGCCCAUACUCGCGUAGGACAUUCAUUUAUUUACAUAUAUGCACGCGAAUGUUAACAUUGUGUAUAAUAUCAUAUAUUCAUCCCUAACCAGCUUUGUAUUAACUCGGAACAUAUUAACUCAAAAAACAAUACGAAAGAUUGUUUCCAGCGAUCGCAGACGCUUGCCAUUCUCUGAUCGCUUUUUCUUUCUACUAUUACUGUUAUUAAUAAAUCAACCUAUUUAUUUUGUAGAAGUUUAAGCUGGCAGUCGUGUACGAAUGAAACAAUGAAAAUAAUUGUUUUUAACGUAUCUGCAGGGUUUUUUUUAUUGUUCGAGGAUAUUUGAGAUUUUUUUUUAAAAUAUGGCACUUGUUUUAAGUUAUUACUCGCGAUCGCGUUUACAUAUCGAAAUGAUUUUAUUUUUGUUUCUUGUAUUAGUGAUUAUAUUUUCAGUUGAAUAGAUGGAUAAUUUAAGUAAUCUAGCGACGUACAGUACAGCAGAGUGAUUAAAGAUAAAAAUUAUUUUAGUUAAACAUACUUGAGAUGGUUCUUUUUUUUAUUUUUCAAAUGAUUUUAAAACUAAUUUAUGUGAUUGUCCUGUGAGGUUUCUUAUAAUAUACAGUAUAUCACCAGGCGCUACUGGUGUCUGCUGAAUUAUACUUUGAAAUUCUACAUUUGCAUCGUUUGAAUGUAUGUCGAUCCGCUCCAUUAUACGUUGUAAAUAUGGUAUACGUAUGAAAUAAGAAACUGCUAUUAACCGUUAUCGCAAAAUGACCUGUCAUUUGUUUAGGGUUGUACGAAGACUAAGACAAAUAAACUAUAUUAUAGAUUAUCGUAA